AACCGUGGUAAAAACCAUCAAGAACUCUCCCAGUUCCCUUUGCACAAAUCAGACAUGUCAGGACUGAAUCCUUCUAACUCGAUCAAGCUAAGCAAGCCAUCAAAACCUAAGAGCAUCGCCACAAAAUACUUGAAAGAACUCAUUACCUCAAACACAUACAAGGAAUUAAUCAUAUCCUUACCAUACCGAUUCGGUCUACUAUCAAGCUACUCCAUCUAUCUUAAUUUCCUUCUGAUUCAUCUUCAACUUGAUAUUCUCUCUUACUGUAGCACCAAAAUUCCUCAACCUAGGAUUACCACACGAGACCCAAGCAUAAAACCACACUGUCUAAGACCCAUAAGCCGUUGAAUACCCUCUCAAAUAUUCCCAAAAACACCACAUAUGAAAUACUUGCUCUAAAGAACUUCUUGUGAAUCUAAAUACGUUACCUCCUAAUACUGAUACAUAGAAUCCCACAAUUAAUAUAGAAAACACCACAAGUCUUGACAUCUUCCAAGGAAAACUCAGUCUCUAACCACAUAUACAACUUUAACUUACCCUAUUGAUACAUGUAGAAUCUUGAACACAUUAGAACCACUCCUACGAGUUAUUCACUCUACUCAAACCGCAAUUAGUCUGAUCAAAUGAACCGAUCAACCUGUGCCUCAUUAGCAUUCCGACACCGUAGAAUGUGACAUUAUUCCAUUACAACCAAGCAACUUCCUACUCUAUGCAUCGAGCAUCCUUUACCAAUAACAACUCAAGACAUUUCGUGAUUCUUACACAAUUAUGAAGCAUACUAUAUACCUUGUUAAGAAUUUUUCCUUUACUCGAGCCAUCCUCGGUCUCAAUUUCUGCAAGCCAUAACUGAUUCACCCGCACGCCUUCAACUAGCACCAACGUAGCACCUAACCGUGCAAUCAACUACUCACAGCAGACUCCCCCACUUGCUUAGAGCCAUAGAUCAAAAUACUCUCAAUAACUCAUAACACUUAUACUCUAUUGAUGCCACAAUACCAUAGUGAGAUUAAACUCAAAUCUUUUAUAAACUGGUGAAAACACAGAUCAUCUAGAAUUUUAACUCUUCUGCAAAUCUCGCAAUUCACUCGCGCAACAGUCAAGCGUGCUCUCUGAAGUGACCCACAUUCAAUUUUUAACACUUAUAUUUCACUGGUAAGUGAGAUCUUCUAACAGACACAUAAAGAUCACACAACCCCACAAUUCUUCGCAGGGGAUAACCCAACUGCUUUGCCUUCCAUUAACAUUUAUGUAUAUCUUCCACUGUCACAAACCUUAUGCAAUCGCUUAGUCUUCCUGAGUCUGAACUCAUAUCGCAACAUGAAAUUUACUUCACUCUCAACUGGGAAACAUGAAAUGAUCCUUCACAUGCCCAUAACUCGGGGCUAUACCUUAAAUCAAGGUGGAAUUCCAGCACUUAAUAGUUUUUCUAUCCUCCAACAGGCCUUCCUUGCCGCUUCUAGAUCAUAUGGAUACAUCUCGCAGUACUAACAUGCUCAUCACAUAGUUAUCCAACCGUCACUCCCACUAAUAGGGACAAUACCAAACAUAUAAGUUCAAAACACUUGAUCACACAAUCAGCACCUCGGUGCUCAAUCCAUAGGAAAAGAUUCGGCCUCAAGUCCUCUAGACUGCCCAACAUCAAACUCACAAAGAUCACAUCUCGCCUUUGAUCAGGGGAUCACAAGCCAUCAGGGCACUUCUAACACUGAGCGCACAUGCGCGCAUAUGAACACGUGGAAGGAAUUUCAAGAGUUACUUUUCAAGCUGAAUCAAGGACGCACGAUGAGAAUUCAAGAAUGUGAAGUUUUUCCUAAUGGUUCUACAGCCUCCUGAGGAUAAAUACAGACGUCUCCGUACCGAUCCGCGAGACUCUACUAAAUCUGCUCAUGACUCGGAGAACUAUGUAGCCUAGGCUCUGAUACCAACUCGUCACGACCCAAAUCCUGACCCUGGUCGUGAUGGCGCCUCUCGUGAAGACAAGGCCAGCCAGUCUAACCCAACUCGUCCUUUAAAAUAGUAAUUUAACACAAAUAUAGUAUAAACAUGGUUUAAUAGUACCAAGUAACAGAAAGUAUGAAUAAGAAAUGCAAAAAUCCAGCCCGACACAGCCCUAACCGGGGUGUCACAAGUCACGAGCAUCUACUAGGGCAUAAAUACAACUAAAAGCAUGGAGUGUACAAAUACAGACUAAUGAAAUGAGGAGAGAGAAAAGCAGUACUGCGAACGCCGGCAGCUACCUUGCUAAACUCUGAUGACUCAGCCUCCGAUCAGCCAAAACAUACCUGAAUCUGCACACAAGGUGCAUGGACUAAUGUGAGUACUCCGACUCAGUGAGUAAAAAUAAUAAAUAAAGACUGAAGGCAAGAAAUCACGCAAAACCACAAGGCAUUCCAUACUGAAGCAGUAAAAUCACUUUAAACAGUAAAGCAGUGAGAAAUCAAGUGAAAAUCCCUUUUUCCAACAAGUAAAGCAAGUAGUUUACAAGUGAGUAACAAAAUGAUAGAAAUGUAAACAGCCCCUCGGGUAAAACAUGUACAACAAACCGCCCAUCGGGCAUAAUAUUAAUAGAACCAGCCUCUCGGGCUCAAUAUCAGAACAGUAACAACGCCUCGGGCUAUCUCACAAUCAGUCAUAUCAGCCCCUCGGGCAUAGUAUCAAUCACACAGAAUAAUGGGUACCCGCGCUGACUAUGGGUGUGCAGACUCCGGAGGGGCCCCUUACGGCCCAAGCGCUAUAUCAAGCCAUCUCGUGGCAUCAUCUCUCGACACUCGGCCUCACAUCACUCAGGCCACCUCGUGGCAUAUAAAGUAUCUCAGGCCCUCGGCCUCAUAUCACUCAACAUAUCCUCACAUAUGACCCUCGGCCUCACUCAGUCCGAAAAUUAUCACAAACCUCUCGGGCAUUUGUAAAACAGUAGUCAUCAACUCAAAACAUCAUUUAGAAAUAUCAUUUAUGUUUCAAAUCUGAGUAAAAGUGGCUGAGUUUGUAAAAUAGUAGAUAUCAACAGGACUGAGUUCAAGUAAUGAGUCAAAACAGUGAGGAAAUAGUGACAAAAUUUCCGAAAGGUUCAAAUAGUUGGCAGAAAGCCCAAAUAUGGCAAUCAACCCAAAUCAUGAUGAUAACAAACAAAUUUCAGUCAAAUACGCGGUAAAAUCAUCGACUGGGACGGACCAAGUCACAAUCCCCAGUAGUAAAAGACUCCACGCUAAUCAUCCAGUGCAUGUCUCACCUUAAUAUAGCACUACGAUGUGCAAUCUGGGGUUUUAAACCCUCAGAAUAUCAUUUACACUUAUUACUCACCUCGAUCCGGUCCAAAAUCUAGCCCGCGAUGCCUCGCCCGCAUGAAUCGACCUCCGGAUGCUCCAAAUCUAGCCACAAUCAGUACAUAAUCAUUAAAAUAUGCUAAGGGAGCGAAGCCCACUCAAAAAUAUCCAAUUUAACAUCAAAAUCCCGAAAUUGCUCAAACCCGGCCCCCGAGCCCACGCUUU
rnacentral:lncRNA from 1 species